ensembl:lncRNA
CUCUGGUAAGCCUCCAACUGUCUAUGUUCUCUCUCUCUCCUUCCUCACCAAGGAUACAUUAUAGCAACUGGAAAGAACAGUUUGUCUCCUUGAAAGCAGAGGACAAACAAGGAUACCAGCUCCUAUAUUCCUAUCUUUUAGCUUAAAACUGGACAGGUAUGAAGAAAUAAAGAUGAUAAAGAGCAUUAAAUGUUAGAAGACCUGAGCAUCUGAGAAGACCUGAUAAACAGCGAUGUGAAAAUUUCCCAUUCAGUACUAUUUUUGCUGGGGAUUUCUUCUAGAAAAUGUUUUUCUUUGGCUCAUUUGUCACAGGACCACACUGCAUCAUUGAGAUGACACUAGAUAAUGAUGAAAGAAGCUGGACUUUAGACCCAACUGUGUUAAAAACUCCGAAUAGAGAUGUGAUUUUAACAUUUUAAGGAUUUACUUGUCCUUCUUUGUAUAUUAAAAGCUUAGGAUGCAAUAACACCUGUGCAAGAAUCUAACUCUAAAAUUUUGCAAGUUAAAAGCUAAGCUAGUGAUUGUGUUUUCUGGAGGCAAUAGCAUUAGACUAGAUUAGUUGUUUUUUUUCCUUUUUCAACAAAAUUUACUGGAAUGUAAUAUACAUAAAAUGCACACAUUAUAAAUGUACAGUUUGAUAAAUUUUGGCGAUGUGCACACCCAUAUAGCCAGAACCCAAUCACGACAAGAAAUCACUCCAGAAAGCUUCUUUUUCCUCUUUAGGGCCAAAUGUUACUACCUACCUCCCAUCCUACCUCAAGCAGUCACUUAUCUUAUUGAUUAUCAUUUGAGGAUAAUUAUUGAUUAAUUUUGGCUGUUCCAGAACUUACAUAAAUGGAAAAAUAUCAUUUGUAUUCUUCUGUUUCUGGCUUCUUAACUAUUUUUGAGAUUCAUUCAUCCUUAUUACUGCAUUUAUCAGCACUUUGUCCCUUAAUGCUGAGUAGCACACUGUUGAAAGAAUGCACCACAAUUUGUUUUCCAUUCUCCUGUUGAUGGAAACCAGAACUGAUUCUAGUUUAAGUUUCUUCUUUUUUUGAACUUAUAUUUUCAUUACUCUUGUAAAUGUAAACUCUUGUAAAAUAUCUAGGGUUAAAAUUACAAAAAUACUUUCCAG